ACACUGCAUUAUGCUUAUUUGGAUCAAAUUCUUCAUUUGUAGGAUCAUAUUUUCCCACUCCAAAUUUUUUAAAAACCUCGGCAAGCUGUUUAUCAGUCAUUUCAACACCUUCAAGAAGUGUAUUCAGAAGUGGCACAGCACCAACAGUAUCCUUAGAUUCAUCAAUUUUGGAGAAGCUCUCUUUUACAACAGAAGAAGCCCGUCCCAUAUUAUCAGCAACAUCUAGAAGUGCUUUCACAAAAUUUUGAAUGGCAAACUUCUUGGAAUUUUCUGCUUCUCGUUUGGUUCUGUUCAUGAGAUUCUCCAUCUCCGCAUAAGAUCUAAGAGCUUUUUCCUUCAUUUUCUGAAACUCAUCAUCUUUUAU
rnacentral:misc_RNA from 1 species